rnacentral:lncRNA from 10 species
AGCGGGGCUCAGCACCCCAGGGGUACCUCUGCAACCUCGAAAUGAAGUUGAAAAUAGCACAGGAGCCCACUAUCACUGUGUGAACAUUUUGUGAAUGAAGACAUGUAUGAAAGGAUGUUUGGAGGCUUCAAGAAACGAAAGCCGAGAGUCUAGCUAGACCAGAGCCAUCCAGCCCAGGAGCGAUGGCCACGUGUGGCCGCUGGACACGAGAGACGUGGCCAGUCCAAACUGUGCAGUGCGGUAAGGGCAGAACACAUGCCAGCUUUCGAAGGCUUAGUAAAGAAUGCAAAAUUUCUCAAUUGGGAAUUUUUGUAUGAAUUUCAGGUUGAAAAAA